AGUGGACGCUGGCGGUAGGCCUAACACAUGCAAGUCGAACGGCAGCACAGUAAGAGCUUGCUCUUACGGGUGGCGAGUGGCGGACGGGUGAGGAAUACAUCGGAAUCUACUUUUUCGUGGGGGAUAACGUAGGGAAACUUACGCUAAUACCGCAUACGACCUACGGGUGAAAGCAGGGGAUCUUCGGACCUUGCGCGAUUGAAUGAGCCGAUGUCGGAUUAGCUAGUUGGCGGGGUAAAGGCCCACCAAGGCGACGAUCCGUAGCUGGUCUGAGAGGAUGAUCAGCCACACUGGAACUGAGACACGGUCCAGGCUCCUACGGGAGGCAGCAGUGGGGAAUAUUGGACAAUGGGCGCAAGCCUGAUCCAGCCAUACCGCGUGGGUGAAGAAGGCCUUCGGGUUGUAAAGCCCUUUUGUUGGGAAAGAAAAGCAGCAGGUUAAUACCCCGCUGUUCUGACGGUACCCAAAGAAUAAGCACCGGCUAACUUCGU
rnacentral:rRNA from 1 species